UACAAUAAUAACACUUUAUUAAUAACGAUCAAUGAAUUAUAUUUACAAUCUAAGGGUUUUAUGACAUAAAUCGCAACAGUUGUGCCUUCUAAAAAAGAAUGUUAAUGUAUAAGCUAAUGAUUAUUUAAUAUUAUAUGAAUAAAUGUUGUAUGUUUAAGUUUAUUUCUCAAAGCAAUGAUGUAUAAGCAUAUUUAUUUUGUAAUUGCAGCAUCUGCUCCCGUUUCUCUUUAUUCCCAUGCUACAUUUAUAAUCAAGUUUAAUGGACUCAAUUUCUCUUACUGGUGCGAACGAAUCUGAUUCCAUGUUAGAGUUUUGGCUCUUGAUUUGGCACUCUUAAGUGAGAAACCUGUUGCAAUUACUUCUGCUAAAGCUUGGAAAAGAUCAAAUAGAUUGAGCUUAAUGUGUAUGCAAAUGACUAUAACAAACAAUACUAAGUCUAUCAAGAAAACUGAAGAUGCUAAGGAAUUUAUGAAAUCUGUAGAAAAAUGUUCUCAGUUAGGGUCGGUUGAUAAGUCACUUGGUGGAACACUUAUUCAUACUUUAGCCACCAUCAAGUUUGAUGGUUCUCACACUAUACAUGAGCAUAUAUUUGAAAUGACGAACUUGGAAGCAAGAUUAAAAACCAUAGUAAUGAAAGCUAAUGAGAAUUGUAUGGUAAUGUUUAUCCUUAAUUCCUUACCUUCAAAGUAUGGUCCAUUCUACAUGAACUAUAACACUCUGAAAGAUAAUGGAAUGUGCAUGAAUUACGAAGUAUGCUCAUUCAAGAGGAAGCGAGGCUUAAGAAACCAGUAAUUCACUCUGUCAAUCUCAUGAAUCAUAAAGGGGCUGGAAGAAACCUGGAAAACAAAAUGGAAAGGGUAAUCAUGGACAACUAAAGGUAAAACAGUCAUAUGCCCCAAUCCACAAAAAGGAACAAAUUAAGGAUAAGUGUCAUUUUUGCAACAAACCUGGGCACUAUUAGAAAGAUUGUCUAAAAUGUAAGACAUGGUUCGAGAAUAAAGGUAAGCAAUGAUUUAGUAUGUUUCAAAUCAAACUUGAUUGAAGUUCGUUAUAAUACAUGGUGGAUUGAUUCUGGUUGUACGAUUCAUGUUUCCAAUACGAUGCAGGGAUUCUUUACUAUCCGAAUGAACCACAAACCCAAAUGAGAGAUUCAUCUUUAUGGAAAACAGAGUCAAAGUUCCAGUUGAAGCUGUGGGAACCUAUCAUUUAACUUCAGAUAUUGGACAGCAUUUAGACCUUUUUGAUACCUUUUAUGUUCCUUCUAUUUCUUGUAAUUUGAUUUAUUAUCCAAACUUGAUACUUCAAGUUAUUACUUUAAAUUUGAGAAUGAGUAUUUUAGUUUAUUCAAACAAAACAUUUUUAUUAGCUUUGGCAUUCUUUGUGAUGGCUUAUAUAAAUUAAAGCUUGAUAAUUUUUUUACUGAGAGUUUGUUAACCCUAUAUCAUAAUGUUGGUACUAAACAUGGUCAAACUAAUGAAUCAUCAGCUUUGUGGCAUAAAAGUUUGGGUCACAUAUCCAAAGAAAGAAUUAAAAGAUUAAUAAAAAAUGAAAUUCUUAUAGAUUUGGAUUUUACUGACCUUAGAAUUUGUGUGGAUUGUGUUAAAGGAAACCAAACAAAAUACACAGUUGAUAAAGAAGUCAUAAGAAGCCCACAACUUCUUAAAAUUAUACACAUUGAUAUUUGUGGGUCUUUGAUGUUCUAUCUUUUGAUAGAGAAAAGUAUUUUAUCACCAUUAUUGAUGAUUUCUCUAGUUAUGGAUAUAUCUAUUUGUUGCAUGAAAAAUCUCAAACAAUAGAUGCCUUAAAGGUAUUUAUAAAUGAAGUUGAAAUACAAUUAGAUAGAAAUGUGAAAAUCUUAAGAUCUAAUACAAGUGGUGAGUAUUAUAGAAAAUAUGAUGAGAAUGGACAAUGUCCAGCUCCAUUCGCUAAAUUCCUAGAAAGCCACGACUUAUAUGCUCAAUACACAAUGCCAGAAACACCAUAACAAAAUAGUGUUGCAUAAAGUUGUAAUCGUACAUUAAUUAAUAUGGUUAGAAGCAUGUUAAUUAGUUCAUCUUUACUUGUGUUCUUGUGGAUGUAUGCAUUAAUUAAGAACUGCUUAAUAUUUAUAAAACAGGGUUCCUACUAAGUUAGUUUGAAAGGCACCUUUUGGGAAACCUAGUUUUGAAGGGACAAAAGCACUAUGACAGCGGAUAAUUUUACAGAACCAUUUCUCAAAUUAAUUUGAAAAUCUUAAAAUACCAUAACAUUGGCAAAAAUUUAGAAUCAAAAUUCUAAAUAAAAGAUAUAGAGAACUUACUUUUCUUGACGUCUCUGGAUGUGCAAACCACCAAAUUGGGACAUCACACGUCGGAGACCUUCCUAUCCUCUGGGAUGAGAUUCGUUUGUGGGAACCAAUUAGGAUGGGAAAAAGUUUAUAGGUAGUUGAGAGAAACUCUUUUCUUUUUGCAGAGCAAAAGUCUUGGCUUUCUUUUCUUGAUGAAUUCUUUAAAAAAAAUUAUUUUCUUCUAGAUAUUUGUAACUCUCUUUUCUUCUUAGAAUAGGAAAAGGAGUAGGAGAGAAUAAUGAGAUUCUAUUAUCAAAUCUACAACUUCCUCUGCGUUUUUCUUGAUGUUGAACUCUUAGAUAUUUUGCUUGGGCGAGAUAUGAAAAGGUGGUCAACCUAAGCAAGUUGGUGAGUGCUUUACAGGUGUCCUCUGCAUGCUUAAGUUAAAUAUUGGCAAGCAGGUGGUGUCAAUAAAGGUUCAUUCAAGGACCACUAUAUAUAAGUAACUUCAAGGAAGCAUUUCUCUCCUUCUACUCGUAUGUUUUGGCUCAUAUUACUCUCAAAAUUUUCCAAAUUGAGUCUAGUUUAUAAGUUGGGGCUACCGGUCAAUUUUAAGGCAAGAAGGUUAAAGUUUAAGCUGAAGAAAGAGAAGAAGGUAAUUUCAAAGCAAAUCGAGCAAGGUUCACUUUUUGAAAGCCACAGAACACAUCUUGUGGAGUUUUUGGCUGAACAUUUAAGGUAAGAAAUUUAAGUGAAUUUCAAGAAACUUUGUAGAAGAAUUUUUUCUCAAAAGAGUUCUUGAUUUUAGUUAUGAUGUUUUAAAAUGGAGUUAAGUUACUAAAUGAAAAUCCAUUUCUGGGCAGUGUUAAAGGUUAGGCGAGUGAUAAGCUUUGCUAGGUGAUUUGGGAGUGAUGGUUGAGUUUAAAAGAGGUUGGUGGUGUAUUUUGGCUUGUGUUACAUGCAUAACCUGCACACAAGGUACCACGACAAGUCCUACGCGCAAGGGGGCAUGUAAGACGCCAGACACUCAUCCAAGUGAGGCAUGCGACAUGUCUAUGCAUGAGAUUAGCAUGCGGCAAGACUUAGCAAGCCCUACGUGGGCGGCCAAACCCCUACCUCCCAUGUCUACUGACUUGAUUGGUUAACUUUGGACUUAGGGAAUAGUGUUGUUGCAUAUGUUAGUAUUUAAUUCUACAUGAUGAUCGCAUGCUAGAUGUUCACUAUAUACCUCUUCAUCAUGUAAUUGCUAAGUCCUCGUUGAGUACAAUUUUUUCUAUUACUUGUCCAAGUUUAAGCCAAACAAUAGGUUUUUUGGGUAAUCCAAGAUCGAACACAUGGAAUUGAUAUCACAAUAUUAGUUUUAGGAAUUACUCUCCAAUUGGUCGGUAUAAAAGAAUUAUCUAUACAGUGUAAUGAGUGUAUGUUUAACUAUAUCUACUUAUCUACACUAGAGAAUCUGUAAAAGGAGAAUAGGAUGAAGGUGAAAUGGAAAUGUAAACUAACUUGUAUAUAAAGAAUGGGUGAAGGAACAUUUAUGCAUUAUUAGGCGAUUAAGCAAUAUAAAAGCCUUGAUGCGAUAUAACUUAGUUAACUAUCUAUAAUUAAGGUGAGCACCUCUUGGUGUCUUUAAAUGCCACACUUGUUUGUCUUUCAGGAUGGAAGUGACUAAGUUUGGUUAAGCAAGGUAUAUCUAGAAGAGUUCACUUACAAAACUUAUAGAGCUUCUCUUUUAAGAGUGACAACCUCUCAACGCCAAACACCAACAAUUGUUCUCCUUUUGGAACACAAAUGAUGGAAGUUAUCUCACCAAGGUGGAGUUCCUUGAGCACAUUAGUCAUAUCCUUGUUACUUGCUCUCUCGAGUAGUUGGCAAUAAACACUGGUCAGGUGAUGAAUAUAGUCCAGCUAAAGCGAUAAGAAUUAUAAGCUAAGCUUCUUAUCAAGAAUCUAUCAUAGAUCCUAAACUACAAAUAACACAUUGACAAAUUGAAAAGGUAUAAACAUGUAAUGUAUUAAAAAAUAUAGACCUUCGGCCAUUGUACAAUAUGAACAAAUACAUUACAACGAAAUACAAAAAUGAAAAUGAUAGAAAUGAUAUUUCAAAUUAGAGGAAAAGGGAGAUCAACUCUUUUCUACUCGAACCUCGAGUUUUCACUCAUUGACUAAUCGAAGAAGAGGAAGAAAAGCAUAUACAGACAGUGGAAAGACUAUUCCUUUCCACCACUCUCUAGGGUUUAGCCCAUUCAGGCCAUAUGUGUUUGUGGCUCAUUCAAGCAUUUAUAUGGCCCAUACAGACUUACUCUUCUUCGUAGGGGUGGAGUCCUUUUUAUAGGCAGAUUCGAGCAGGAAACUUCUAUUCUUCUAGGCAUGUCAGUGUUGAAAGCCGCCUAUGUCAAGUCACAUCAACUCCAUCUACUACUUUUGUCUUCUAGCGAAGCUCUUCUAGCCUGCUGAUAAUGUCUUCUCUAGUAGUCUUCAUGCGAGUUCCUUUGUGAUUCACUAGCUUCUUCUUUUGUUCAAAUCUUGCGUUAAGACUGAAGGAAUACGAUAUAUGUGCAGCGAAAAAAAAUGGAUCUAUUUACUCUAAAUGCAAAGGGUUAAAGAAAAUAUGUACCCUCGUAGCUUCUCAAUUCCUCAGUAAUCUCCUCACGAACUCAAACGGAAACCACUACUAGUGUUGACCCGGUAUUCUUCAUAUUUAGAACCAGGUUGUGGGACCCGAUUAGGUGAAGGAACUAAGAGAGAGGAAUGAAAAUAAGAGGAGGAAUUUUUGUUUGAAAUUUGGAAGAGAAAAUUAGGUUGAAAUAAAUUUGUAAUUCAUAAAAACAAAAUUUUUCCAAAAGUCCCCACCAAAUUGAAAAAUGUCCUUUAAAUAAGCUAAUUACAUGUAAUUAGUUUCUUAAAUCUCAACACCUAAUAAUCCACUAACAAUAGAACUUAGUGGACUAGGUGUUUUCAUCUUAUUUAGUCACCUAUCCUAUUAAGUUUUAGUGGGAUUAUUCAACAAAAAAUUUUAUUUUUCCACUAACAUUAGUUCAAGGAUAAUAUCGUCAAUUGACCAAUCAAGUAAAAGUCAAAUUUUGACUUUUGAACAUUUUGAAUUCUUACAAUUUUUUCUGUCUUGACUAGUUUCAAUCUCCUGAGAAUGAAUCUGCAUUCAUUUUUCUAAAAUUCAAAUCACAUUUGAAUAUAAAGUCGGUCAAAGUUUGACUUUUCAAAGUCAAUAGUCAACAUUUUGACAUUUUUCAACUUUGACAAUUUUCAUCAAUUUCGAGCUUUCAAAUAUGAAUCUGUAUUCAUAUUUUAAAUAUUUAAAUCAUAUUUAAAUAUAAUGCACUAUAUCAAACUUAUAGUCGAUGACUAUAUCACAUAUUCGUCAGUUUCUCACUCUUUACUUAAUUCGAACAAUUUGAAUUAUUCUAACAUAUUGUUCUAAGUUAAUUCCAUAUGAGCUAGUAGAGGAACCUAAUGGAUCUAUAGUUCAUGUGUUCCAACGAUCCAAGAUUAACUUGUUAAACCCUUUUAGACCGAGCUAAUCAUUAUUCGUUAACUAACGGGUCAUCCCACUAAAGUCUCAUAGUUGCACUCCCCUCACUAUAGAUAUAUUUUUGUCCAUCUGAUAUAACCAUGAUCAAUAAGUUAAUCUUUCACAUGUUGUUCGUAACAUGGAUUAGGUCAAAAUAUCAUUUUACCCUCGAGAUUACAUCUUGCUCCUUAAAUUCCUACUGAUCCACUAUUGAACAAUUGGUUUAAGAUCCAACCUAUAAACAGAAUCCCUCUUGGGCCAAUGAGAGGGUGAGACCCCUUGUUCAAGACUUGGAUUCAGUCUUUAAUAAAACAAUCUAUCUACUAACCAUAAAACGGAUAGGAGGGAAUUCCAUCUUGCACCUUAUGUCCCUAGUCAUCCAUUCGGUCUUACCCCUUGAAAUGCAAGGCUUAUUGUGCCAGCGUCGCUUAACUACCAACACCUAUGCAUACCUAAGAAUAAUUUCCUAUGAACAGAAGUUCAUAGGUAGUUCAGGAUUAAGAUUAAGUUACCUAGGUCAUCGUUAAAUGAAAUAGUCAGUUUUAUACAGUCAACAGUGUUAUAACAUAAAAGUGACUAUUUUUCAUGGUUCCAGUCUUAUGUUAACUCUUUACAAAGGAUGCCCCCACUUACAUGUCUCUAUAUGAAUGAUUUAAGAUCACGUCGUUCAUUAUAAGGCAAUCAUAAUCCUUAAUCCAAAGAUCCAAACUAUUAACGUAGUAGGAAUAUUUGAAAUAAGAAACUAACACCUCCUUAUACUAAUUUAGAUCAGCCAAGAGAAAGUUAGGAUUAGAUUACCUCUUAGAUCGAAGAUCUAGAACCAAGAUUUGAAAAUCUUGUUCUAAAUUGAGUCACUUCACAAUCAAACUUCAUCAAGUUAGAUUAAAUGGCUCGCAUGCAUUAUAUCACAAGAAUUGCAAAUUAAGGAAAAACUCUCAAAAAUGAGAUUCAAAUUGA
rnacentral:lncRNA from 1 species